UGACCAGGAUGUGGAGAAAAAAGGGAACCCUCGUACAUUGUUGGUGGGAAUGUAAAUUAGUGCAGCUACUGUGGAGAACAGUUUGGAGGUUCCUCAAAAAAUAAAAAUAGAGCUACCUUAAAAUCCAGCAGUCCUACUUCCCACCUUCAAGUAUUUGCACUGGGUAUUUCUUUGCCUGGAACACUUUUCUUCCAGAUGGUCACUUGGCUAACUCCCGUACUCCUUCAAGUCUUCUUAGAUCUGUCUUUUGUCUCAGUAAGGCCUACCUGAAAAUGCUAUUUAAAGUUGCAUCUUACAUUCUAAUCUUCCUUUGCCACUCUUUUCUUUUUUAAAUAAUAAUUCUCACCUUCUAACAAACUAUUUAAUUUACUUACUAUGUCUGCUUGUAUAAUCCCUAACCUCUUAAGUUCUAGGAGGCUAGACACCUUUGUCUAAGCUUGUUUGCUCCCGUAUCCCAAAUGCUUCAAAUAAUACCUGGUAUUUAGUUAGUGUUCAAUUAUUUGUUGAAUGAAUUCAUGCAAGAUAAUGAACCAAAAGUACUUCUCCCUUGGCAGGGGCUUGGAGUCAAACUCAUUGUAUGAACUGAGGUCUAGAGGAGGGCUAAUCAUCAUCCUAGGAACAGAAACUAGAAAAG